rnacentral:lncRNA from 1 species
CAGGCCUCUAACUUCCCUGGCUUUUCACUAAUUCCUCCAUCUGCUGGUGCCUAAAUUUUGUGAUGGGAUCAGAAGAAAGUAUAAAUGACCUUCUAAUGGAGAGACAAGAUGGCCCACGAAUAAUGGUGGCCCCCAGCUUGGUCCAGACACCCAGAAGAUCCCCAAGUGGAUCAAACCACCGCCCCUCUCUGCAAGGCGUCUUCUGAUCUCCCAUACAAGGUUUCUGAGGCAGAGCUUAUUUGUGACUGAUGGGUCCUAGGAAUGCUUCUCCUCUGGAUGCUUUCCAGUGAGCAGACAGCACUCAGGCCCUCCUACGAGGAGAUCAAGCUGGGCCAUUCCUUCCACAGGCUUUGGAAUCAACUGGCAGCCCAAGACUCCAUGACAGUUAUUAUGCAGCAGCUCCUGAAUGUAUCCACCUGUAUGUUCUCCUAUGUUGUUGUUUAUACAAUUUAUUUUCCCUGGAUUGCAAUUGUUUCCAUUCUCCCCUUCUUAAGUCCAAGUGUAUAUCUGUUUUGUGGUCAAGUAAUAUUUUCUUUAUCAAAUGUUCACAUGAUAAAAACAUAAAAAAGAGGUGAUUUUUAGGGGAUCAAUGAAGUUGGAUUUUUUUUUGGUCACAAAUUAAAUAAAAGUAUAGGUAUAACAAAUUUGCACAGAAUUAUUUUUUAUUUUCUUUGAAGUAAAUCAAUUACAAGUAUAUUCCUAUAGACAGAUAUUUGUCUUUAAAACUUCGUUUAUAUAUGUAGAGGUAUUAACUUAAUAAAUGCUUUAAUGAAGAAAAAUAUACAAGUUUAUACAUAUUUGACAGAAUAACUUGAAUUAUUUUUAAUAGGUACAUCUCUAGAAGUGUUUUGUUCUUUCGAGAUGUUAGAAUUUGGUCAUAUAACCAACAACAUAGAGAAUCACUCACAUAGAAGAAAUGUGAUACUAGCCAAAUAAAUCCCUUGAAUUAUUUACAAGAAGCAUUAAUUAUUUAUCCACUAGUUCAAUUGAUUUGAACUAUAACCAGGAAUAAAACAUAAGGGCUUUUUGCAGUAGGUUUAGGACUUGAAGAAUUUAAUCUCUUGAGUAUAAUAAAUGAACUUGUUCUCCAUAUUACUCCAUCUCCAGUCAGCAUAGCUUGAGACAAAUUUCUAUAUUAACUCUGUCAAUGUUCAUAUUGUUUAAAAUGGCAUGUAAAACACACAUGAUUAAAGUUAAAAUUAUUAUUUUAUUAUAUCAUUGAAUAAUUGAAAACAAAACUAUCUAUUCACUAAUCUGAAUAAGACUGAAUACAAUACCUAGUUAUUCUCUUUUACUGGAUACCCUUUGUUUUUCAACAUAAUUGUGUUAUUUGUUUACUUGUUUGAUUUUUACUCUUUAGAGCCUGUCUAAUAAAUAGUGUAUUUCUUGCAAACACAUUUACUUUGAGAAAGUGGGUACCAUACACAACAUUUUUAAAUGCUAUCUUUAAAUAUUGAUAAUGCUUCCAGGUAAGAGACAAAAUGUAUGUAUUUCAUGUUUCCAAAUAAAGUCUGUUUCUACUUGUAAAAAGUUAUUUUUUUUUGAAAAUUUUCUUUUAUUGGGUACUCAAUGACUAAUAUAUAACAUAAAAUAUUGUAACUUUUUGUGAAUUUUAU